AUUGAACGCUGGCGGCACGCCUUACACAUGCAAGUCGAACGGCAGCACGGGAGCAAUCCUGGUGGCGAGUGGCGAACGGGUGAGUAAUAUAUCGGAACGUGCCCAGUAAUGGGGGAUAGCCCGGCGAAAGCCGGAUUAAUACCGCAUACGACCUACGGGUGAAAGCAGGGGAUCGCAAGACCUUGCGUUAUUGGAGCGGACGAUAUCAGAUUAGCUAGUUGGUGGGGUAAAAGCCUACCAAGGCGACGAUCUGUAGCUGGUCUGAGAGGACGACCAGCCAAACUGGGACUGGGACACGGCCCAGACUCCUACGGGAGGCAGCAGUGGGGAAUUUUGGACAAUGGGCGCAAGCCUGAUCCAGCCAUGCCGCGUGUGGGAAGAAGGCCUUCGGGUUGUAAACCACUUUUGUCAGGGAAGAAACGCUCUGGGCUAAUACCCUGGGGUAAUGACGGUACCUGAAGAAUAAGCACCGGCUAACUACGUGCCAGCAGCCGCGGUAACAC
rnacentral:rRNA from 1 species